rnacentral:rRNA from 1 species
UACGAAGGGGGCUAGCGUUGCUCGGAAUCACUGGGCGUAAAGGGCGCGUAGGCGGCCAUUCAAGUCAGGGGUGAAAGCCUGUGGCUCAACCACAGAAUUGCCUUUGAUACUGUUUGGCUAGAGACCGGAAGAGGUAAGUGGAACUGCGAGUGUAGAGGUGAAAUUCGUAGAUAUUCGCAAGAACACCAGUGGCGAAGGCGGCUCACUGGACCGGUAUUGACGCUGAGGUGCGAAAGCGUGGGGAGCAAACAGG